rnacentral:rRNA from 1 species
GUACACACCGCCCGUCGCUGUCCGGGACUDAGCUGUUUCGAGAAGAGUGGGGACUGCUAUAUCGGGGCUUUCGGGCUCUGGUAUGAUGGAAACCAUUUUAAUCGCAAUGGCUUGAACCGGGCAAAAGUCGUAACAAGGUAUCUGUAGGUGAACCUGCAGAUGGAUCAUCGUCGAUACCUUAUAGGUACAUGCUGAUCACGAGAUGCCGAUAAUCAUGGAAUCAGGCUUGUUCUUGGUUCCAGUCGGUGUCUCACCCCAUCUAAGGUCUCGGGUGAGGUGUCUAUUCUUGAUUGGAGCCGCUUUGAGUGACGGCUAUGA